ACGUUAGCGGCGGACGGGUGAGUAACACGUGGGUAACCUACCUAUAAGACUGGGAUAACUCCGGGAAACCGGGGCUAAUACCGGAUAACACAUGAAACCGCAUGGUUUCAUGAUGAAAGACGGUUUUGCUGUCACUUAUAGAUGGACCCGCGGCGUAUUAGCUAGUUGGUAAGGUAACGGCUUACCAAGGCAACGAUACGUAGCCGACCUGAGAGGGUGAUCGGCACACUGGAACUGAGACACGGUCCAGACUCCUACGGGAGGCAGCAGAA
rnacentral:rRNA from 1 species